AAUUCUCUUAAACUUUCCCAUCCCACUUUCUUCCAAACCUUGGGACUAAAUUUGGGUCUCUCCUCCAAUUUUAAGCCGGCCCAACGCAGAAAUAAUUCUUCCAGCCCACUCCCAGUUAAUCCCCAGACCCGACCCAGCCAGAAACCACGUGAAGUUCCAGACGCGAUCAAGCGGCGUCAAAAGGGGAAACCCAGAACCACAAUAGUCCCAGCAGUAAAAGACGCCUCCUACUUUCACGGCGAUAGACGGUGCAAUACAGGGAAAGCAGCAGUAGAAAAACGCGUACAGCAACGCGCAGUAUGCUCUUUGUCUUCUUCCUCCCGUGUCGCUUUCGUCCUCGCAGUCGCAGUAGCAGAAGAGGCAUACAGGAAUCGUCCUUGUGACUGUGAGAUGAAGCCACCUCGCUCAUCAAGGACGCUCAAUCGAUCCCAAUCGUCCAUCCCGCUUUCCCGUUUCGGAAGGUUUCAAAUUUCAGAGAAAGUUGUUCAUCCUUUUUGGUGAAUGGUUUUGCGAAUUCAAAUUGGAAUUGGGCCCCCUUUCACCCGAUUUUUAUCCGUUCCCCCCCACCCCCACCCCAAAUCCAACCGUCCCCUAUAUAACGUCUUUUCCUUGUUCACUGAAAGGGGAGGGGAUUUUAUUUUUUGAAGACUUCAGUCGAACUUUUUGAGGCAGAAAGCUGAGAAAAUAGUGAAAGAGUAGCGGGACAGUGAAAGAAUUGUUUAAAGUUCAUUCUCCAGGAAAAUCAAAAAUAGUCUUUUAGUUUGAAGUUCUUAAAGGGUUCUGGGAUUCAAAGUCGAUUCAGACAUCUUGGUUCGUUGUUCGUGUCGGAGUUUGACGUUCACGAAAUUAUCCUUUGGGUGUUGAGUUCGCUAUUUCCUUACUCGUUGUUGUCACAACUAUGCUGCCCCUCUAAAGACUAUGUUCAUUUGGUAUUUUGAGCACAUUAGGAGUUCUAGAGCUUGGAAUAGAGUGAUUUUUGUGACGUUCUUCUCGAUAUAAUAUGGAGAUUUGGGAGAUUUGGAGACUUAUCAUAAAGGGAAGGCCCAAGUACCAAAUUGAUUUCACUCUCUUUUAAGGCAAGUGGACCUCUUGAAUCUUUGUUAAGUGUAUUGGACCUUUUACGUCAUUAUGUGAUUUUGAGUAAUUAAAACUAAUGAAGGGUUUCAUAUAUUUUUUCUCUUGUAAAUGGUGAAUAAGUGUUUUGACGAUAACUAGGGGUAAAAUAAAAAUGUUGUUGGUUUGUGGUAUAGAUUGUGCCUUGAAUACUUGAAUAAUUAUAUUAAUUCACCUUGAUGAAGUGCCUGGAUUA